AUUGAACGCUGGCGGAAUGCCUUACACAUGCAAGUCGAACGGCAGCACGGUGGCAGCUCUCGUGGAGAGGGGCGAACGGGUGAGUAAUACAUCGGUACGUGCCCGGCCGCGUGGGCUAACGUAGUGAAAGUUACGCUAAUACCCUAUACGAGCUGAGGAUGAAAGCGGGGGACCAUCGGGCCUCGCGCGCUCGCACGGGCCGAUGUCCGAUUAGGUAGUUGGCGGGGUAAAGGCCUACCAAGCCGACGAUCUGUAGCUGGUCUGAGAGGACGAGCAGCCACACUGGAACUGAGACACGGCCCAGACUCCUACGGGAGGCAGCAGUGGGGAAUUUUGGACAAUGGGCGCAAGCCUGAUCCAGCCAUUCCGCGUGCGGGACGAAGGCCUUCGGGUUGUAAAGUGCUUUUGUACGGAACGAAAAGGCGCUGGCUAAUACCUGGGGCUCAUGACGGUACCGUAAGAAUAAGCACCGGCUAACUACGUG
rnacentral:rRNA from 1 species